AUGGGGCGGGCAGCCGCCGGCCCUUCACCUACGUGCCCCACGAGCGUCGGUUUCGCCCCUCCUCACGCAGCUCGGGCUCGUUCCCGCAGGAGGCCGCGGCGCGGCGGCAGUGCGGGGCAGAACCGGCCCGGGCACUGUCUGACCUCGGCGCCCCAAAGGCCGCGAGCGGACNNNNNNNNNNNNNNNNNNNNNNNNNNNNNNNNNNNNNNNNNNNNNNNNNNNNNNNNNNNNNNNNNNNNNNNNNNNNNNNNNNNNNNNNNNNNNNNNNNNNNNNNNNNNNNNNNNNNNNNNNNNNNNNNNNNNNNNNNGAGCGGCUUCGGCAGCCUUCGAGUGCGCUCGGGCCGUGAGAGGGGGCGCCACCGCUCCAUUCGAGGCCUCGGGCGGCCGUCGACCUCGACCCUCCCGCCGCCUCGCCGGAGCCGCCCAGCCCCUGCCCUGCGUCGGAUCGCGUGCGACAAAGCCGCGGAAGCACGAGCGCCGCGAAGCGCCCGGCGUCUUGGCAGGAGCCACGGCCCCACUCGUGCUGUCUGCGACGUGCCACGGAGCCGCGCUCACACGUCUUGACGCAAAGCGGCUCCCAGGCGGCCGUCCGAGCAGCCUCUGGAAACAGCGCUUGUCAGUGCUCAAAGAGCACCGAGGUCACACCAACUUUAUCUGCGGUUCCUGGUCUGCUCCUUUUGUUCCUACAGACUCCGUGGCUACAAACCAUGGGGUUCUGGAUGUUUCUGAAGACUCAGGUCUGCCAAGCCCUGAUGGAUGAAAAACUGAACAUGAGCCAGCAGUGUGCCUUGCAGCUCAGUAAGCAAAUGGUAUCCUGGGCUCCAUCAGAAGAGGGGUGGCCAGCAGGGACAGGGAGGUGAUUGUCCCCCUCUACUCUGCUCUUGUGAGGCCCCAUGCAGUACUGCGUCCAGGUCUGGAGCCCCCAGUGAGAUAGUAAGCUGAAGAAUACAAGAUGUUAGGGGUCCAUAACACCGCUUGGUUUUGCUAACUCCAAAGGAAUUCACAAAUAGCAUCGCUUAGUUUAACUUUUGCUAACUCAGAAGGAAUUGCUUAGUUUAACUUUUGCUAGCCCAAAGACAUUUCCAAAAGAAAGCCUUCUCAAGUCAGCAGAAAGGGGGCAAUGAAAGGGGAACAAACAAGAAAUUGCAGAGGCACGCAGGGUGCGAGAAGAGCUCAAAACUGGGACAAAAGUCCGAAGGACAUGGUGAGGAAGACUACUGUUUUCAUCCAGGGACGACCACCAGGUGGAGAGGAAGACGUCGAGCCUUCAUCCAAUGACCACCAGAGAAAGCUACUGCGCAUGCACUGGGGGGAGGGACAGUAUGUAAAUGAAUUCCCGGAAAAGUAAUGGAUAUGUCAAUAGGUCUUGGGAAAUAGUGCUGAAUAUGUAUGGGCUUGGCUUAUAAAUAUAUCGAGAUCCCAGUCUCUGGUGUGCAGGCUAGGAGGAGCGAUCCCCCUUGCACCCGGCGUGUGGCACAGCGCUGAAAUAAAAACGUAUCUGCUCUUAUAACCUUACGUGGGUUAGAGAGUUUGAUUCCGCAAAUCAGCAGGGGGGUUGGAGAUUCAUGAUCCUUGAGGUCCCUUCCAACCUGGGCCAUUCUGUGAUUCUGUGUGAUUCUAUGAAGCGUCCUUCCGUCACUGCCAACCAAAACCAUCAGCACACCUGGCACCAAUGACUGCAGUCCCACCGCACGCAUCAGCAGCGAAAUGGUCCUGCCCAGCCUUUGGAGCCCUUCUAGGGAGAAAACCCCUGCAACAUGCCCGCUCCCUGCUCCCGCUCCCUGCCUUUGCACAGCCUACAGCAGAACUGCCUCUUUAAAGAGAGGCCUCAGAUUGAAAUGUUACAAAACCAGUUUCUGUUUAUUUCUAGGCUUUUCCUGAGAGCUGAGCAAGGGAAAAGAAUAACAGGAAAGAAUAACCAGGGGGAAAGGCAGGCUCUCCUUCCUCGUCCAACGCUCCCUUUGAUUUGUCUCCUUUGAUACAGGUCUUCUGCCAUCUUUAUACAGGAAGUUAUAUCCGACGAAAAUAACAUCAUAAGCAUUUUUUUCUCCUCCAGAAAUGUCUGAUGGUUCAAAUUAAACCAUUCUUUAGCCUUUCAUCCUUCAGAUUUAAGGAGUUUCUCCUCACUGCCAGUCCCCUUUCUAAAAACUAACAGGAGAUUGUACAGAUAAAGACAAGCACUGAUUUGGAAGGAGCAGUGUUCUGGAGUACUCAAAAACGAGUUCUGAACUCGUAGGGUAAGAAUUACAAAGCAGCUCUUAUUUUGAUGCAUGGAAAUGAUGCAUGGAAUGGGGAUUCUAAGAAAAGAACUACAAAUGUUGAGAAGUGAUGCGUAAGUUUUCAAGAAGGGAAAUUAAGUUUAGCACCAAGUUCUCAGUUAAGCAAUUAGUAGAGGCCUCUUCUUUUUUUUUAUAAUGGAAGUUUGUGGGAACAAAAAUUUGUUUUAAAGAGAGAGAGAAAUGUUCUCUGUUAUGACAAAUGUGUUUUACAUUACAAUAAACCACACUGGAUGGAUAGGCCAAUGAACUUCUGCUUGGGCACUUCAAUAAAAUCCAAAUUAAAGAGUAAACAAGCCAAGUCUGCUUUCAGGAACAGAGAUGUUAUUUCACUGUGGAAUUUCAAAUGUUUCUGCAGGAGUCUAAAAUGCCAAUUCCCAUCAUUCAUCCUUCAAGGGAUUUUCAGAAAGCGUUUUUCCUGACAAUUCCAUUCUAUAAAGCCUCACACAACUGAAUUUAGAGCCCAGUGACACUUUUCUCUGGCCAUAGCAGUAACUGCAGAUGCUGUUACACGCUGUGUAUGCACGGAUUGUAUAACCUGUGUGUAAAAAUGCUUGACUUGACAGCGCUGAGCAGCAGUGCAAGACUCCAGAUAUCCCAGUCCUCGUUUUGCCAGUGCAGGCACUGACGUGGAGAUAGCCACCGCUCUGCCCGGCGCUGCGUUGGGGCCGAGUCCACGAGCGUGGAUCCACGCAGUACGGCCUCAGCUGGCACAGUGACAGCCGCUGCAGGCUGCCACCUGUCUCGUUCACACGACCGUGCCGCGAGCAAACGGCAGCCGCGCAGCGGCC
ensembl:lncRNA